UUAUAUCUGAUAAAUUGUUGGUUUAAAAAUCUGGAAAACACCAGAAAUGUUUAUUAUGUCAGAAUAAUUGAAAUUAAUAUAUUUUUGGCAAUUAAUAUGCAAAAGGCAGCAUUUCCCAUAACUAGACAUCAACCAUCACUCCCAUCUAAACACGUUUAUCUUCCACGUCAAUAGGUGGAGAUAUUAUACAUGUGCUCUCUGCCAUCUAUCUAUCUAUCUAUCUAUCUAUCUAUCUAUCUAUCUAUCUAUCUAUCUAUCUAUCUAUCUAUCUAUGACUCAGGUUUAGGAUCUAGAUUAGAUUAUAAUAUGUGUGGAUGGGAGUAUUCUACCUUAUCUGGGGCAUGAAGAGUUAAAUGUGAGUGUUAGAGGAGCUGAACACGCAUCUGAGUGCUCCAUAGAUUGGAGAGAAUAUAAAACAUACCCCAACAUUUAUUUUUUUCACUCUUCUCAAAUUUCAGUCUCAUGACCUGUGGAAGUUUACUUGACAUCCAGUACAGUAGGUGGCGAUAAUGCUCCGGAGUUAUUCGCCAUUAAACAAGAAGAAGAAGAAGAAGAAGGAGGAGGAGAGACAUCAGGAGAUUAGUGCUAUUUGUAUUUAGCAAAAACAGUCUGCUGGAUACUUUACGUCUCUGAUCAAGCUGAAUCUGUAAGUUAUCAUGUCUAAACACAGGACGAAAAAGCUCAUCAUUGAAGAUGGUAUGUGUUAACCUACUGGUCUUUUGCUCUUUCUAUACUGCAUCAUGAUUAUAAUGCAGCACUAGCUGUCUGUCUUGAAUAUGUAUCAUAGGUUUUUAUAUUAAAACAUUCUGGGCUUGAAAUCUUCAUUUUUAAUGUCCUGUACAAAUUUACUUUCAGAUGAGCCAAAGCAAGAUGAGCUGAAUCCGUUUUCUUUCAAGGAGUUCGUCCGAUACAAGAACCAGCAGUCUUGUACUACAGAAGCCACAGAGGUGUGUGGUGGAGCAUUCAACGUCGAACAGGAUUAUAACACCUCCAUAGAUUUUGCCACGAAGGGGCCGUUCUUCUCAGACCCGUCUGCGCUCUGUCAGCCUUCUGAAAACGAACCUGAGGAAACAUGGAUUGAAAGCUGCCGCCCAUCAGCCCUUGAUGGUUCUCAUGACUUCGAACUAUCUGGUACUUUAGACCUCAGUGCUUUCUCUGAGCAGUCAUCUCUCUGCAGUGAUGAGAGGGGAGCACAUGUAACUGAAUGGGAACUGUGUAAUUCUGACUUCCUGCCAAAGAGCCACUUAGCUAGAAGAAGCACAGGAAGCUAUGAGGGUGAUGAAGAGACUUCAGUGAUUGACAUUUCCUUCCAUCCGAAGAGGAGUAAUGCUGAAAAUGGCACAAAGAAUCCCCAACAGGUAUGUUGUGUGAAUUGUGAAUGGUGUGAGGUUUUGUAUAUACAUGAGCCAAUUGUUAUAUUAUAAUUGGUGCAAAUGAAUGUUUUUAAAGGUGUUUUGUGUGUUUUAGCUUAGAGAAGAGAAUUCUCUACUCAGAAAGCAAGUCAAAGAACUCCUUAGAAGGUCAGAAUCUGACUCCAAAAGGUAGGCUAUUUACACCAAUUGUAAUAUUAUAUACAUUACUAAAUGUAAAAUAACACAUUAAUUGUAAUUCUUUUGAGGUAAUUAAAGAUUAGAUUACCCAAAAGUGAACAUUCACUCACUCUCAGGUCAUCGUAUGUGUAGAUGAGUUUGUUUCUUCAUCGGAACAGUUUUGGAGAAAUUUAGCAUUACAUCACUUGCUCACCAACGGAUCCUCUGCAAGUGAAUGGGUGCCGUCAGAAUGAGAGUCCAAACAGCUGAUAAAAACAUCACAAUAAUUCACACGACUCCAGUCCAUGAAGAAACAAACUCAUUUAGAUAUUGUAUGGCCUUAGGGUAAAUGUUCAGCACAUUUUUAUUUUUGGGUGAACCAUUCAUUUAAUGGACUGAAGCUGCUGUGCUUUUAUUAAGUUUCUAGAUGAUUUCUCACUGUUAAACUAUCCAAUUGUAAUAGGAUCAAACAACUGACGGAUGAGUUGCACAACAAGAAGUUGCAGGAGGAGAGAGAGGCUAAGGCUUUGGAGACAAUGGUGCAGUCAGUAGAACAAAACCUUGAGUUAAUGACGGUAUUAAGCACUGUGUUAUCUUUCAUAUGACAUUUCUUUUUGUUUUUAGUGUAAAUCCUAUUCUUAUAAAUGCUUUAAAAAAUUCUGUUUUUUUUUCCAAUACAGAAGCGAGCAGUCAAAGCUGAAAAUAGUAUUUCAAAAUUGAAACAAGAGAUACAACAACUCCAGGUUGGACUUCUUUUCAUAUGCACAAGCACACUGAAGAAAGCAUACUAUGCACAUACAUUAUAUAAUGUCA
rnacentral:lncRNA from 1 species